GUGGCAGGCGCGGAACGACGAUGGAGGUGAACUGUAACAGGGUUGCGCCGGGUGAAUAUCGGGGUUAACGCCGGGCUGAUAGCGCACCGAGGAAAGGAAGAUGUGUGUCUUUGGCGAACGGCUCCGUGAGCAACUUAGUUCCUCGCCAGUCGCCGACUGAAUUGUCGUGGGAGACUGGAACAUCAGGACAGCAGACAGUGUGUGCUGCCAUCGGAAGAAUGCCCCGCACCUUGCAGCACCCCGGACGCCUUUGCAAGCAAUGAACCCUUUACGUCGUGCACAGCAAGAUCCCACAAAGCAUCACACUCAAAAUGCUGGAGCAACCCAGUAGGCCAGGCAGCGUCUAUGGAAAACAGAGAGAAAAGCUCCAGCUCGUUCAACCGUUCCUCAUCACCGGAAGGAUGUGGAAGCUUUAGAGACGGUGCAGAGGAAAACAGCUUCUUCCCCUCUGCCAUCCGAUUCCUAAAUGGACAUUGAACUUGUGAACACUACCUCACUUUUCUAAUAUAUAUUAUUUCUGUUUUUUCCAUGAUUUUUAAUCUAUUCAAUAUACAUAUACUGUAACUGAUCUUUAUUUUUUUCUCUUCUAUGUUAUGUAUUGCAUUGAACUGCUGCUGCUAAGUUAACAAAUUUCACGACACAUGCCUUUGAUAUUCUGAUUCUGCUCACCAGGAUGCUGCCUGGAUUAGAGAGCAUGUUAUGAGGAUAGAUUGAGUGAGCUAGGGCUUUUCACUUUGAAGAGAAGGAGGAUGAGAGGUGACUUUAUUUUUUUUAAUUUUAUUUUUAUUUAGAGAUACAUCGUGGAGUAAGCUCUUCCGGCCCUUCGAGACACGGUACCCAGCAACCCUAACCUAAUCAGGGACAACUUACAAUGACCAAUUAACCUACUAACAGUCCAGUACGUCUUUGGACUGUGAGAGGAAACCCCCACAUUUCACAGGGAGGAUGGACAGACUCCUUACAGAGGACACUGGGAUUGAACUCUGAACACCAACACCCCGAGCUGUACAGGCACCCUGUGAACUGCUAUGCUACCAUGGUGUACAAGGUGACAAGAGGCCUAGAUAGAGUGGACAGCCAGAGACUUUUUCCCAGAGUGGCAAUGGCCAAUACCAGAGAACCUCUGUUUUAGGUGAGUAGAAGAAAAUUGAGGGGAGGAGAGAUGUCAAAGGUGGGCUUUUUACGCAAAGAUUAGGGGAGAUGUCAGAGGUGGGCUUUUUACCCAGAGAGAGUGGGAGAGAUGUCAGAGGUGGGCUUUUUACCCAAAGAUUAGGGGAGAUGUCAGAGGUGGGCUUUUUACCCAGAGAGAGUGGGAGAGAUGUCAGAGGUGGGCUUUUUACCCAAAGAUUGGGGGAGAUGUCAGAGGUGGGCUUUUUACCCAAAGAUUGGGGGAGAUGUCAGAGGUGGGCUUUUUACCCAAAGAUUGGGGGAGAUGUCAGAGGUGGGCGUUUUAGCCAGAGAGUAGUAAGUGCCUGGGAUGUACUGCUAGGGUUGGUGGUUGAGGCUGAUACAUUAGGGAAUUUACAAAACUAAGAUAGGCUCCCUCCAAGAGGACCACAUCCUUGUCAUGGUUUGCAGGUUUGCGUCCCUUGGUGACAUGGGGGGCUAUGUUGGCUGGAGUUAGGGCUUUGUGCUUUGACUCUCUGUAGGGUCACCCAUGUCAAACAGGUCAAAUGGUAGAGGUCAGACUAAGAGUGGUCCACCAGUGCUCCAGGUUCGGGGGUUCAGCUCAGGGCUAACAACCCUGACUGGUCAAACAAAACUGUUACAGGAACAGCAAUGAAACAUCCUUCUACAUCUGUGUGUGGCAGAUGGCCAAGGACAGGCAGAGAUGGAGGACCUUCAUUGCAGCAGGCAUAACAGGCAUUUGAUGAUGAUGAUGAUGAGAUAGGUACAUGGAAGUAAGAAAAAAAUGGAGAGUUAUAGGCUGUGUAGGAAGGAAGGGUUUGAAUCAUCAUGGAGAAAGUUUAUUUUACUUCACUUUAUUGUUGCCAAACAAUUGAUACUAGAGCGUACAAUCAUCACAGCGAUAUUUGAUUCUGCGCUUCACGCUCCCUGGAUUACAAAUCGAUAGUAAAUAUUAAAAAUUUAAAUUAUAAAUCAUAAAUAGAAAAUAGAAAAGAGAAAGUAAGGUAGUGCAAAAAAAAUGAGAGGCAGGUCCGGAUAUUUGGAGGGUAUGGCCCAGAUCUGGGUCAGGAUCCGUUCAGCAGUCUUAUCACAGUUGGAAAGAAGCUGUUCGCAAAUCUGGCCGUACGAGUCUUCGAGCUCCUGAGCCUUCUCCCAGAAGGAUGAGGAACGAAAAGUGUGUUGGCUGGGUGGGUCAUGUCCUUGAUUAUCCUGGCAGCUCUGCUCCGACAGCGUGCGGUGUAAAGUGAGUCCAAGGACGGAAGAUUGGUUUGUGUGAUGUGCUGCACCGUGUUCACGAUCUUCUGCAGCUUCUUUCAGUCUUGGACAGGACAACUUCCAUACCAGGUUGUGAUGCACCCUAGAAGAAUGCUUUCUACAGUCCAUCUAUAAAAAGUAGUGAGGGUUUUAGGGAACAGGCCAAAUUUCUUUAGCUUUCUCAAGAAGUAAAGGCACUGGUGGGCCUUCUUGGCAGUGGACUCUGCUUGGUUGGACCAAGUCAAGUAAUUUGUGAUAUUGACCCCGAGGAACUUAAAGCUUUUGACCUGUUCCACUUGCGCACCACCGAUGUAAAUUGGGUCGUGCGGUCCGCUAUAUAGGUUAGCACAACAUUGUGGGCCGAAGGGCCUGUAUUAUGCUCUACUGUUCUAUGCUCUAUGUUUGUUCUGAUUCUCAUGUAUUUACCACUACAUAUACAGUCAGUGGUCACUUGAUCAGGUAUGUCCUGUACCUAAUAAACUGGUCACU